ensembl:lncRNA SLC8A1-AS1 SLC8A1 antisense RNA 1
GUUUUCCAGCACUUUGGGAGGCUGAGGCGUGUGGAUCACCUGAGGUCAGGAGUUCGAGACUAGCCUGGCCAACGCAAGGGCAGUGACUGGAAGCUGGGAGAGAGGGUCAACAGCUGAAUCUCAGCCUGAUGGAGGCC